rfam:Brachypodium distachyon strain Bd21 chromosome 3, whole genome shotgun sequence.
CAAAUACUCCCUCCGUCCCAAAAUAAGUGACGUGGAUCUGUAUAGAUUCUUAUACAAAUCCACGUCACUUAUUUUGGGACGGAGGGAGUACUUA